AGUUGUACUCCGUGGCUCGAGGACGAACGCUGGCGGCGUGCCUAACACAUGCAAGUCGAGCGGGGACAUACGACGGGACAGGAAGUUUUUCGGAUGGAAUGGAAGAUGUAUGUUCUAGCGGCGGACGGGUGAGUAACGCGUGAGCAACCUGUCCCUUACAGGGGGAUAACACAGCGAAAGCUGUACUAAUACCGCAUGAGACCACAGGGGGACAUCCCCCAGGGGUCAAAGGAGGAAUCCGGUGUGAGGUGGGCUCGCGUCUGAUUAGAUAGUUGGUGAGGUAACGGCUCACCAAGUCAACGAUCAGUAGCCGACCUGAGAGGGUGAUCGGCCACAUUGGGACUGAGACACGGCCCAGACUCCUACGGGAGGCAGCAGUGGGGAAUAUUGGGCAAUGGGCGAAAGCCUGACCCAGCAACGCCGCGUGAGGGAAGAAGGUUUUCGGAUUGUAAACCUCUGUCCUGUAUGAAGAGGAGAAGACGGUAGUACAGGAGGAAGCCCCGGCUAACUACGUGCC
rnacentral:rRNA from 1 species